rnacentral:rRNA from 1 species
GUGCAUGGUAGGCAGUUUGACUGGGGCGGUCUCCUCCCAAAGUGUAACGGAGGAGUACGAAGGUACGCUAGGUACGGUCGGAAAUCGUGCUGAUAGUGCAAUGGCAUAAGCGUGCUUGACUGCGAGACCGACAAGUCGAGCAGGUGCGAAAGCAGGUCUUAGUGAUCCGGUGGUUCUGUAUGGAAGGGCCAUCGCUCAACGGAUAAAAGGUACUCUGGGGAUAACAGGCUGAUACCGCCCAAGAGUUCAUAUCGACGGCGGUGUUUGGCACCUCGAUGUCGGCUCAUCUCAUCCUGGGGCUGUAGCCGGUCCCAAGGGUAUGGCUGUUCGCCAUUUAAAGAGGUACGUGAGCUGGGUUUAAAACGUCGUGAGACAGUUUGGUCCCUAUCUGCCGUGGGCGCUGGAUAUUUGAAGGGGGCUGCUCCUAGUACGAGAGGACCGGAGUGGACGAACCUCUGGUGUACCGGUUGUCACGCCAGUGGCAUCGCCGGGUAGCUAUGUUCGGAAGAGAUAACCGCUGAAAGCAUCUAAGCGGGAAACUCGCCUUAAGAUGAGAUAUCCCCGGGGCUUCGAGCCCCUUGAAGGGUCGUUCAAGACCAGGAC